CUUAAGCAUAUCAAUAAGCGGAGGAAAAGAAACUAACAAGGAUUCCCCUAGUAACGGCGAGUGAAGAGGGAAAAGCUCAAAUUUAAAAUCUGGUAGCCUUUGGUUAUCCGAGUUGUAAUCUAGAGAAGUAUUUUCCGCGUUGGACCAUGUACAAGUUUCCUGGAACGGAACGUCAUAGAGGGUGAGAAUCCCGUCCUUGACAUGGACUACCAGUGCUCUGUGAUAUACUCUCAAAGAGUCGAGUUGUUUGGGAAUGCAGCUCAAAAUGGGAGGUAAAUUCCUUCUAAAGCUAAAUAUUGGCGAGAGACCGAUAGCGAACAAGUACCGUGAGGGAAAGAUGAAAAGAACUUUGGAAAGAGAGUUAAACAGUACGUGAAAUUGUUAAAAGGGAAACGCUUGAAGUCAGUCACAUUUGUUUGGACUCAGCCUUACUUCGGUCUGGUGCAUUUCCUUAUAAAUGGGUCAGCGUCAAUGUUGCUUGGUGGAAAAAGGUAGAGGAAAUGUGGCUCUUUCGGGAGUGUUAUAGUCUUCUAUCAUAUACAUCAAAUGAUAUUGAGUGGUACAGCAUGCUUUUAGUGGUGCUUGUGCUGGCAUAAUGGCUUUAAGCGACCCGUCUUGAAACACGGACCAAGGAGUCUAACAUAUCUGCGAGUGUUUGAGUGGAAAACUCAAGCGCGUAAUGAAAGUGAUAGCUGGGAACCCCUCACGGGAGGCACCGGCGCCCCGAGUUGAUCUUCUGUGACGCAUCGGAGGUAGAGCAUAUAUGUUGGGACCCGAAAGAUGGUGAACUAUGCCUGAAUAGGGCGAAGCCAGAGGAAACUCUGGUGGAGGCUCGUAGCGAUUCUGACGUGCAAAUCGAUCGUCAAAUUUGGGUAUAGGGGCGAAAGACUAAUCGAACCAUCUAGUAGCUGGUUCCUGCCGAAUUU
rnacentral:rRNA from 1 species